rnacentral:tRNA from 1 species
AAGUGAGAAAGAAUAAUUUCCAAUUAAUCAAAGAAUCUUUUCCUCACUUA